CAUAGGGCUGGACAGCUUUGUGUACAACAUGCUACCUGCAUAUAUUGGUUUUUUCCCCUAGAUAUGAAGGUGUAAUGCAUAGAGAAGAAGAAAUGUGUGUGUUCGCAGGCUUGGGCGCACGCACAUGAAGCCAGGAGGGAUUCCCUUUGGAUCCACAGUCGAAAUGGACUUACAAGAGAAACCUGGUUUGAACACAUGCGUCUUCCUUUGUGCGACAUAUGGCCCAUCCCUACCAGCCACGAGCGAGAUCAACAUCUGCUUCAGCUCCCACCAAAGCUGUUUCUUUGGCCUUUGUAAAGGGCAGAAAACUCGAAUGAGGACACAAAAUCAUCUCAAAGACUCACAGAGGAGUUGAGUCACCCACCACUUCCUGUGAGUUGGUUGAAAAGUUUUCAGCACAGGAGAAUCGUUUCCAACCUGCAAGUCAGGAGGAACUUCUGAGAUACAUCACCGUGCAAGUGUGAACCAAAAUUCCUGUUAACCACUGAUCAUCCACUCAGCCCUUCUGUGUGCCACCCACUGUGCUAAGCACCAUCUCACUUAACUCUCAUGGCUAUCCUUCAAGGGCAAUAGGUUUGCCUCUGAGAGGAGGAGAAGGUGGAAUAUCCUUUGCCCUGCAGCCUGCUAAAGAACCGUACUCUUGAGGCUUGAAAAUCAAGUGAACCCAUCUGGCUUAGACAGCUUAACAGCAUGAAGAUCAAAGUCACAUGGAUGAGGAAGGACAUCGCCACUUACUGAGGGGAGCUCUCACAUUGGAUGACAGGAUGGAGAUGGGAAGAAAUUUGGCCUGAGCCUACUAUUCACAAAGCCUUCCAUCUCAGACUUCAAAUAUCAACUUUGGGUGAUGCACACAGAGUCACUGUUUUUGGGUGGUUCAUAUUCAGGGUUAACUGGUAAAUGCAAAGAUUGCGGUCCUAUUACAGUUUUUUUAAAAAAAAUCUGUAUUGGCAUUUCCUCAUUUGUCAAUGUAGCAGGAACCUUAAUUGGGACAGAAAGCCUACUCCAUUUUCUUGGCCUAGGAAGCCUCGAGAAUUGAUGAAGACAUUCUCUAAUGUGGGCUAAGCUGUACAUUUGGAGCAUUUCCUCUCCUUGGGAAGGCCCUCAGAGGGAUGGAGAUCCUUGUCCUGCUAGUGUCCCUGUCCCACAGGAAGAGGUAUGACUGGAGGAAGCAUCUGCUUGGAUGCGAAAGCAGGCUGGGAAACAGACUCAUGCUUUUUCUCAAAGAGACUAGCCUGGGAGUAGGGAUUACAGUGCCACUGACCUUUCCAUGGUAUCCUGGUCUCCAUUCUUCAAGUGUGUCUGUCCACAGGAGAGAUCAGCUGUGGGAGAGUCAAUAGGGGAGUCUACAGAGUCAUUUCUUUGAAGAAAUCAAAUCCAUUGGGUGCUCUCAGGUGUAUGGAUGGCGCAGCAUGGAAGGUCAAAGAAACUCAAAUUUUGGAGUCCUGAGUCCGUCUCCAGGGCUGCAACAGUGACCUUGACUCCUGAUCCGAUGACCAGAGGAUCUUGGCAGUGGCAACAGUCAGAAUAUUUUUUCACAUUUAGGAAUGUGAUAAAUUGAAAACAAAUUGCAGUCUCAACGGCUUGGAGCUGGUUAAGGGAUUUUGAGCUCAUGCAGCCAGUACAACAAAUCAAAAAUCUAUCUUUUCUACACCCAACAUUAGGGAGAAACAACUGAGCAGACCCCUUCUGCAGUUACAGUUCCUUAGUAUGGAAUAUGUGGAAUUCAAGUCAAAAUAUGCCAAAAUGUUAGCAAUUAACUGCUUAUAUAUCACUACUAUUAGUUUCCAUUUUUCAUAUUUCCAGUGUACAAAUUGAUUUUUAUUAUAAAAAUAAACUCAUAAGGAAUAGUCUCUUAGAUCAAGAGCAAGAGCAUAAAUAUGGGCAUAGGGAGAAUGGAAGAAAAUAAAGCAAAAUGAUACUUUUGGUGAUAGAAUCAGAAUUUUUUUGCCUCCCAUCUUUAUAGUUUACUUUUAUAAUGGGUAUUUGCAUUUCAGAUAACUUUUUAAAAAAUGGAGGAGGAGGGAAAGAGUGGUGAGUGUUGGUUCAGCCCAGAACUUUGGGCUCCCUGGACUGUCUUUCAGGUGAACUGUGUGAUGUUUCCUGAGCCUGUGAACUGGGCUCAUUAUUUGGCCCUGGGAAGGAGGAGUGAGAAAUAUGAAGAUGAAGGAAAUGCAAGCACUUCAGUCAAAUAAAUCAUAACCCAGCUGGGGAGAUAAGAGCCUGCAUUAUGCCGUUGGCAUCGCAAGAUCUUAAUCCUAGAAGUUUAUCUGUUAAGAGUGAUAGCAAUGCAAGUGACAGUAUACCGAGCUUUAAAACUACCUCAGUUGGGAAGAAACUUACUUUUUUUUUGUACCAGGGAUUGAACUCACAACCUUGUGCUAGCCAGGCAGGUACUUGUGCUGCUGAGCUAAAUCCCCGUUCCCAGAAACUCACUUCUAUUCCUAACUAUGCCAGACCUGAUCUUCAGUAUGCUUUUCUGUAAAUGUACACUACCUCAUAAUGUCAUUGUGAGUGUUAAACAAAGCCUGUGCAUAAAAGGCCAUAUAAGCCUGUGCAUAUAAGGCUACCUUCAUCAUGAGUCACGUUGCCAUUACUUUGGAUCAGGUAUUUGGGGCCAGCCAUCCAUAAGCCAUGCUUUCCCAGUUAUGAUUGGGAUUUGGACUCACAUUUAUCUAAUUUCAAAUCCAUUUAUUCUACUGAUGCCGCACUUACCCCUCCACACCAAACUGAAAUUUGUUCUGAACCUCACCUUUGUCUUCUUUAUGAUUUUGGCAGAAAAAAAGCCAAAUGCCUAUUCAAAGAUCAGAGGAGAAAUGAGUUUGCUUCAGAGAACAUGAGAGAAAGAUGCUUCCCUUCGUGCAGGACACCGCAGUGUUGCCUAGAGUUUUGCAGUGCCUUUUGCUGUAGAAGAUUCACUCUGAAGCCUGUGCUGGUGACACAGCACUACUUGGCUUGGCCUUAACUGCAAGACUGACAGGUUUUGCCUCCUAAUCACGUGUGUUAGUUUACUCUGGCUAAAGGGCAGAACAUGAAUGGAGAGUAAAAGAAAGUAUAAAGGAGGAGCAUCAUGUUCAAAAUGGACAACAAAUGCCGAGAAGUGUGAGCCAUGGUAGACGGCAGAGUUUGGGUCACAGGCGCUUAUAGAGAAGACCUGAUCCUAAGGUUACUGUGCAGGUAGGACAGCCUCCAGAAGCUGACCGACAAGCUGAAGGACCUAUUUUAAAGUAGUGACAAAGGUUGGAGGUGGCACUGAUUUUUUCCCUUGACAGUGAGUUUCUUGUGUACUCAGGUUGGAAAUCUUCCCUAAUUGAAUCAUGAGUUAAAAGCAACGACAGUUCAGUAAAAAGGACAAGGAAAACCAAAUGCACAGGGGACAUUCUCUUUAGGAACAUCCAUGUCACUCAGAAAAGUUACCUCCUUGAAACGAAUGUUGAUAUCAAUGGUCUCCCCAGUCAUCUGUUUUUUUCAGCGCUCAAUCUAACCUCCCCUGGAACCCAUGUUGCCCCAACUCAUCUUCAUGGCAGGCACCGAAGGAGGACUGUAAAUACUGCAGGAAGAGCAAUAACUCAGGCACUCAAGCUUACAUAAUGGAUUGUUUCUCUUAUGUGAGAAACCCAAAAUAUAAAUAAAGAACAAAGUAAAAAACAGAUAAUAGGAAAUAGGGAGAUAGAGCUUUUGCAAAGGGAAGAGAACCAAGAGAUGGGGGCGGGGAAAAGAGAAGGACAAAGAAUUACAUGUCUCGCAUAUGUACCAAUGCCACAGGAUGAAUGUAAUUAUUAUGUACCACAAGCAUCUAAUAAAAAAUUUAAAAACUGAAGCCAGUGCAGAUAAGAGCACAGGAGAGCUAUGUGUUUGAAUAAGGGAGAAGAAUAUGACAGCAGAUCAGGUAUGAAGUAAAGUAAAGGCAGAGAUGGGUAGAAAAGGUUUCCCAGACAAGCCAGGACUUGAGUUGCAUCUUCAAGAGCAGUGCAUGCAUUCUCUCUGGUCCUAAGACAGGAAGUGAUUUCAGGCAGAGGCUUCAGGGAGCCUGAGAAUGUGUCAUGCACCCGUGGUGUGCUCGGUCCAUGGCAGAGGCUGGCUGAGAGGUGCUUAUAGAGAAGACUUGAGACAAUAAGGCUACUAUGUAGGUAGGACAAUCCCUAGAAGCUGACCAACAGGCUGAAGGACCUAUUAUAACAGUAGUGACAAGGGGAAGAGGUGGCAUUGGUUUGCUCCCUGGCAGUGAAUUUCUUGUACAUGCAGGAGUUGAUGCCAUGUUGAGCAAUAUGGAGGUCAAGCCUCCUGUGCUUUUUGUUAGGGCUUCAGUUUGAGGAGAUGAAUUAAAUAGCCCAGAUUUAUCAACUAUUAGAUGAUGAGAACAGCAUAUAAUUGAAUCAUAGGAAAAUCUAUUCAUUCAUACAUUCGUUUCUUCCUGUAGUCAUUUAGAAUGGUUCUUAUGCAUCGAAUACUUUAUAUUAAGUACUGCUGAAAUCCUGGUGGGAAUGCUACACAAUUUAGGACUUGGCUCCAAUCUCAAGAACCUUCAAGUCAGAAUAAAGGAGAGAUGAUUACUAACUCCACUGUGUUAACCCAUCAACUAAGUUCUUACUUACCUCCUACAACUCCUUAAACCAUUUCAAUAUACUUCCUAUUUCUUACCAGAAAAAUAUGAACUCUUAUCUAAGACUAAUUUUCUCUAUAUGGGAAGCCUUUGCUCACCUCCUAAAACUCAUCUCGUACCCAUCCCUUCCUUCUUCUGCUCCAAUUCCAUUGCUGUUUCAACAGGGCUCACCAGACUCUCUUCAACCACAGGGCUGUGGCACAUGCUGUUCCUUCAGCCCAAGUCAUCUUCUCUGGCUCAUGCCUACUUAUGGCCAUAAGCUCAGAUUACUACUAGUUCCUUGGGAAGGGUUUCUCAGUCCAUCUACUUGAUCAUGUCUUUAUUAUACACUCUCCUACUCCAUAUGAUAUCACUUAUAGCCCUUGUCCUAGUUAUUAUUUUUCAUUUAUUUACACAAGGACUACAUUAAUACCAGACCAAAAAUUCCCCUAAUGCAAGCACUGGUUUUAUAAUAAUUUCUAUAGCAUAAUUUAUUUCUAAUAAUCACAUACCUUUCGAUGAAUAUUGACAAAUUUAUGCAAACCAUAUACACAUGUUUAUUACCACAGUCUUGUGUGGAACAUUUAUAUCUCCCCCAAAAAUCAUGCUGUGCUUCAGGCCGCUGCUGAUCUUCUUUUUGUCCUUGCAGCCUGGAUGUCUCUUGUAUAGUCUGAUACAUGUAGGACCAUAUGGUCAGUAUCCUUUAUGUCUGGCUUCUCCCACACAACAUAAUGUUUUUUAGUCAUCCGUGUGGUCAUCCGUGUUGUCAUCAUAGUCUGUUCCUUUUAAUUUUCAAAUGUUGGGGUCGGUGCCUAGACCCCUAAUCCCCUGAAAGUGUACACAGCAAAGGCCCAAAGGAAUGAAACAAGCAGCUUGAUCUUUAGGAGGAGUGAAAUCCUCAGCAGAGCUCAUAACUGGGCUGGCCAACCAAUUGAUGCUAGACAGCCCAUAUUUAAUCAGAACAAGCAAGGAGUUGAGUGGACAAUGGAGGAAACCUGAACAGGAUCUUGGGAGGGGUUCAAGGAGCUCUCAGAGCAACAGAAGAUGCUAAUUAAGGAAAACUAUGUAGAAAGUGUCCAGGUAGCCUCAGCUGUGACCUACCUUGCCACCUGAGGUGUCUCCUCAUCCUCAGUUCAAUCAUGCCCAGGCCAGGCCACAGCCCUGCAUGUGUUCAACACUCUCCAACAGCUGAAUAAUGCCAUUUGCAUUGUUUCAUUGGAGUUACCACUAUUCUUUUAGGCAUCCUUCAACUUCCUGAGGCUGGUGCCACAUUUUCUGACAUUUCCAGGACUUACAUAGGUCUGGGUAAAUAGGUGGCCUUUGGAAGGGACAUAGCCCAAUUCACUGAUCCAGGCCAUGUGAGCGAUCACUUUGCUAGCACUCAGCAGUCAUCCUCACAUACACAGACUUCCUUUGCAUACUUCACUAGUUAAACUUCUCAGUCCAGGUUCCUAAGAAUACUUGCCUUUCCUCAGAACCACUCUGAUGCUUCCCAGAGCCACAGGGAACAGUCUUGGGUCAGCCUUCGCAAUAAGGCAGUAUGGGCGAUGGUGAUAGGCAAAUCCCUCUAACAUUUUUGAACCUGGACUUCCUUAUCUGUUGAAGGGAGAUGUUGAUAUCUGCCUCAAGGGUCAUAAAGUGAACUCAGAUAUAUGAAAGUGCUGUGUGAAGUAGAAAAUACAAUAUUGUAGAGUAAAAAUAACCUCCUAAGUUACCUGAGACAUAUAGACCUUCACUGUCUUUUCCAUCAGAUGAGGCUGAACUAGUGUUCACCAAACUGCCUUUCAUCUUGAGUCCUCUUAUAGUCUAGGGUUCUGGAACACUAAAAACAGAGCCUGUCUGUCUUUCCAGCAUAGGAAAAAUUGUGGUGCUUUUAAAGAGAACAAUCAGUUUCUCCGAAAAUUCUCUUUCUGAGUAAAGAAAGUCAGCUUCGGUUUCCAGAACGAGCCAAUAUUUUUGCAUCAAUAGGUUUAACUCUGUAGUUAUUUCUAAGAACAGUAGGGCAAACAAUAGAGCUCCUGAUUUCCAGAGUGCUAACUGGGGCUAUGAAGCAUGUCCUUUGCUGGGAACUGAUCUUUGGUCUGGAUAAAUGUGUCCAACUUGUUAAACCAGUAAUUUAGUUAAAUCCACCUCUACAUGAACCCUGUCAUUCAGACAACAGAGAAUUUUUGAGUGCUACAUUGUGUUAAGUGCUUUAUCUAUAUUGUCACCCUCAACAGCUCUAUACUGUAGUGAGGUGGAAAUUGAGCUCAUAACUGUUCCUCAGACAAAGGAUUACUAUUGAGAGCAUAUAAGGAAAAAGAAAUCAGUCCUUCUAGAUUUAAAGAUCCAGUCCAUAAAUGGGCAUCUGAGAUGAAUACACACUUCUCAUGUGAAGAAAUACAAACAUGAAAUAAAUAUAUGAGAACAUGUUCAGCAUCACUGGUCAUUCAAAAGAUGCAAAUUAAAACUACACUGAGAUCCCAUCUUACUCCAGUAAAAUGGCUAUUAUCAAGUAAUCAAGCAAUAACAAAUGCUGGUGGGGCUUUGGGGAGAAAGAACCCUUCUCCUCUGUUGGUGGGGGUGUAGACUGGUGCAACCACUGUGAAAAUCAGUGUGGAGAUUCUUCAAAAAGCUAGAAUUGGAGGUUCCAUUUGACCCAGCUAUUUCCCUUCUGAAUAUUUUCCCAGAAGAAUUUAAAACAUCAUAUCAUAGUGAUAUAUGUGCACUCAUGUUUAUAGCAAUACAAUUUGUAGUAGCUAGAUCUUGGAAACAACCUAAAUGCUCAUCGACUGAUGAAUGGAUAAAAAAGAUGUAAUAUUUUUAUACAGUGGAAUAUUACUCAGACACAAAGAUGGCUAAACUUGAGACCUUUAUAGGUAAAUGGAUGCAACUUGAGGCCAUACUCAUAAGUGAAAUAAAUCAGACAUGCAUGUGUAAACAUCAAAUUGCCUCACCAGGUGAGAAGCUGAAAGAAACAAUAUAUGCAUAUCUAUAUCUAUAUCUAUAUCUAUAUCUAUAUCUAUCUAUCUAUAUAUAAGAUAGUUAAGAUAGUUAUAUUUUCUCUGAGUUCAUUGAAGAGGAAGGUUUGUGCUAGAAUUAUUUGGACUAUUAAAUGCAGAAAUCUUGUAUUCUGAUAACCAACUUGAACAUGAUGUGCAUAUAUAUAUGU